CCAGCCAACUCUGCUACGGCAGUCGGCAACAUGAUAAAGUAACAAGAAGCAAACGUUGAAGCUCUCGGUUUUUAACAGUUCUUCGGCUAGAACUUUGCUAUGGGUUGAAUGUGCGCAUAUACUGGAUGCUGAAACUAAACGACAAGCUUUAUGAAACCGUGGCAUUUUGCGUUGAGAUGGAAAAGGAACGCGCCACACUCUCCUGGAUACGAGGCUACGUGUGUGCGGCUUUUGCGCCAAAGGUCUUUCUACCAGCAAAGCAAAAUAGCAGGACAGAAGUGACAGCGUCAGAAAGAAAACAAUGCUGUUCCGAUUGCUGAUGGAGACAACAGAGGAAGGUGCCAAGUAACUCUGGAGGAUAUUCUCGCCAUGACGAAUCGAGCUGGUAUCAACAUUCUUCGAAGUUGAAUCGGAGAGUAUAGCCAAAACUCACAGGAACACACAGCUUUCAAUUGAGAAAUGCUGUACACAGCGCCCAGCGCCCUGGGAGCUGAACGUCUGCGGCCAGGUUACAGUACAGAAGGGUCAUCCAAGGUGCAUCAUGACCCUCAUCCAUCUCCCACCAUACCAUAUGCUGG